GAAUUUAUAUAAAAUAACAACACACAGAGAUUAAUCAUUAAUUUUGUAUUAAUUUAAUCGCUCACACUUGGAUUUCUCCGAAUUCUUACUCGUAUCUACAUUGGAAAAUUUGGUAUAGCAAUAUGGUGUAUAUCAAGAAAUUUCUACUUCUUGCACUGAUAUUAUGCACAGUCGAAUUUAUUCCUGGAAAUGCUAGAAAACUAGGUACGAAAAUACUUUGUGAUUGCGAUGGUAGUUUCAAAGAUUCACAGUGUGACAAUAGUUGCAACGCUGCAGGUUAUACACGUGGAAGAUGUA